rnacentral:misc_RNA from 1 species
AAAGUCGUAACAAGGUUUCCGUAGGUGAACCUGCGGAAGGAUCAUUACAGAAUAAACCUGAUGAGUUGUAGCUGGCCCACUCACAUGGGCAAGUGCUCGCUUGUCAUUUUUAUCUAUCCACCAUGUGCACUAUGCGUAGGCCUGAGGAAUUUUUAUUCAACCCGAGUUCGCUUUGGUUGUUGGGAAUCUGCCAUUGAAAUAAUGGCUUUUUCUGACUUCAGUGCCUAUGAUUUAUUUAAAUACACCAAUGUAUGUUUUAAGAACGCUCUACUAGGCCGCUAAAGCCUAUAAAUUUAAUACAACUUUCAGCAACGGAUCUCUUGGCUCUC